rnacentral:rRNA from 1 species
ACUCCUACGGGAGGCAGCAGUGAGGAAUUUUGCGCAAUGGCCGCAAGGCUGACGCAGCAACGCCGCGUGGGUGACGAAGGCCUUCGGGUCGUAAAGCCCUGUCAGGUGGGAAGAAAGGCCUUGAUAAGAAACGGUUGAGGUUUGACGGUACCACCAGAGGAAGCACCGGCUAACUCCGUGCCAGCAGCCGCGGUAAUACGGAGGGUGCGAGCGUUAUUCGGAAUUACUGGGCGUAAAGCGCGUGUAGGCGGGGAUGCAAGUCUGAUGUGAAAGCCCUGGGCUUAACCUGGGAAGUGCAUUGGAAACUGCAUUUCUUGAGUACUGGAGAGGAAGGGGGAAUUCCCGGUGUAGAGGUGAAAUUCGUAGAGAUCGGGAGGAAUACCAGUGGCGUAGGCGCCCUUCUGGACGGUAACUGACGCUGAGACGCGAAAGCGUGGGGAGCAAACAGGAUUAGAUACCCUGGUAGUCCACGCUGUAAACGAUGAUCACUAGGUGUAGCGGGUACUCAUUCCUGCUGUGCCGUAGCUAACGCGUUAAGUGAUCCGCCUGGGGAUUACGGUCGCAAGACUAAAACUCAAAUGAAUUGACGG